rfam:Schizophyllum commune H4-8 unplaced genomic scaffold SCHCOscaffold_9, whole genome shotgun sequence.
UCCCUCUUAGCUCAGUGGUAGAGCGCUUCACUAGUAUUGCCAUUCAAGGUUUGCAAAUGAAGAGGUCAGUCGUUCAAGUCGGCUAGAGGGAA